AGUGAACGCUGGCGGUAGGCCUAACACAUGCAAGUCGAACGGCAGCACAGUAAGAGCUUGCUCUUGCGGGUGGCGAGUGGCGGACGGGUGAGGAAUACAUCGGAAUCUACUUUUUCGUGGGGGAUAACGUAGGGAAACUUACGCUAAUACCGCAUACGACCUACGGGUGAAAGCAAGGGAUCUUCGGACCUUGCGCGAUUGAAUGAGCCGAUGUCGGAUUAGCUAGUUGGCGGGGUAAAGGCCCACCAAGGCGACGAUCCGUAGCUGGUCUGAGAGGAUGAUCAGCCACACUGGAACUGAGACACGGUCCAGACUCCUACGGGAGGCAGCAGUGGGGAAUAUUGGACAAUGGGCGCAAGCCUGAUCCAGCCAUACCGCGUGGGUGAAGAAGGCCUUCGGGUUGUAAAGCCCUUUUGUUGGGAAAGAAAAGCAGCAGGUUAAUACCCCGCUGUUCUGACGGUACCCAAAGAAUAAGCACCGGCUAACUUCGUG
rnacentral:rRNA from 1 species